rnacentral:rRNA from 1 species
GAUGAACGCUAGCGGUAUGCCUAACACAUGCAAGUUGAACGAAAGCUUCUGCUUUAGUAGCGGACGGGUGAGUAAUGCAUGAGAAUCUACCUUUGGGAGGGGAAUAACAAUUGGAAACAGCUGCUAAUGCCCCAUAUGCUGGAAAGUGAAAAAGAGUAAUCUGCCCGAAGAUGAGCUCAUGUCUGAUUAGCUAGUUGGUAGAUUAAAAGCCUACCAAGGCUACGAUCAGUAGCUGGUUUGAGAGGAUGAUCAGCCACACUGGGACUGAGAUACGGCCCAGACUUCUACGGAAGGCAGCAGUGGGGAAUUUUCCGCAAUGGGCGAAAGCCUGACGGAGCAAUACCGCGUGAGGGAAGAAUGCCUGUGGGUUGUAAACUUCUUUUUUUAGGGAAGAAAAUUUGACGGUACCUAAAGAAUAAGCAUCGGCUAACUCCGUGCCAGCAGCCGCGGUAAU